GCGCGCGCGCUGCUUGCCCCGUCCGCUCGAGGGGGCGCGCGCCGGCGCUCAGCGCGGAGGCAGCGGACGGCACGGCAUGAUGAUGAUGGCGGAGCGAGGGCGAGUCGCCAUGGUCCCGGGCACUGGGCUCCCCAAACCCGUGCCCAUGAACCUCUUCGCUACCUGGGAGAUCGACAGGUCAUCCCCGAGCUGUGUACCCAGAUUGUGCAGCCUGACAUUAAAGAAGCUGACCGUACUGAAAGAACUUGACAAGGAUCUUAACUCUGUGGUAAUUGCUGUGAAAAUCCAGGGCUCGAAGCGAAUCCUAAGAUCGAAUGAAUAUCUUCUCCCCCCAGGUGGCUUGAUGGAGACCGAUUUAGAGCUCACCUUUUCCUUGCAGUAUCCCCACUUCCUGAAGAGAGAUGCAAACAAACUGCAGAUAAUGUUACAGAGGAGGAAAAGAUAUAAAAACCGGACAAUUCUGGGUUACAAGACACUGGCACUGGGGACACUCGAUAUGGCAGAGGUCAUGCAACAUCCCACGGAUGGGGGACAAGUACUUGGACUUCACUCCAACAUGAAAGAUUCUUCAGUGCGGGUCGCUGAAAUCAGUAUCUACUCUCUCUCCAGCCAGCCAAUCGACCAUGAAGAUAGCAAUGUACAAUCAGGGCCUAAGACAAAAGCCUCAGAUCGUUCUCCAGACAUUGAUAAUUACUCUGAGGAUGAAGACGACAGUUUUUCCUCGGAGCAGGAAGGCAGUGAUGAUGCAGUUCCCAGCCAGGAUCUUUAUGAUGAAGAUGAUGAGCUGAGAAAAACCAAGAAGACCCGACGGAAAAUGAUCCGGACUACCUCAAUGACACGGCAACCAAACUUUAAACAGAAAUUCGUUGCCUUGCUGAAGAGAUUCAAAGUAACUGAUGAGGUGCUGGACUCUGAUCCUGUGGACCAGACCCAGGAAGCAGAGGAAGACCUUGAUUUACUCUAUGAAAGCUUGGAAGUUUACAAUCCUAGUGACAGUGGCCCGGAAAUGGAGGACAAUGAGAGCGUUCUCAGCACACCAAAGCCUAAACUAAAACCAUUCUUUGAAGGAAUGUCACAUUCCAGUUCCCAGACUGAGAUUGUCAGCCUGCUCAAUCACAGGAGCCAAACACGGGAACAGCCAAGUUCAGCAGAACUCUGUUCAGCAGAGAGCAAGACCUUGAGCAGUGCUAGUCUGCCGGAGGAGGCAACCACCGAAACUAUAUCCCUGGAUGUGGAUGUGGAGGAGGAGGAGACGAUAGCUGGAGACUGGAAUAACUUGGAAGCAUCUCUGGAGAAACUACCACCAUUAGGGAAAAUCACAAAAACCGAAUCACAGGUUAUUGUAUCUCCUAGUAAGUCUGAAAGUAGACAGCUACGACGACCCAGGAGCACUUCAUUGAAGGAUCGGCACAACUCAAAGACACAAGGUGACAGAGCCAGCAGUUUCGACAGCGAGUGCUUGCCAGACUCCAGAUUCAACACUCAGGUCCCUCGGAAGUCGGUUUAUGAUCAACUGAACCAGAUCCUAAUUUCAGAUGACCAGCUGCCAGAGAGUAUUAUCCUGGUGAACAUUACAGACUGGCAGGGACAGUAUCUGUACGAACGUCUCCAUGAGAAGAGCCAGCCCAUGGUGUGCACAUGCUCAGUGGCAGAUAUCCAUGCAGCGUUUAACACUAUUGUUACCAGGAUACAAAGAUUCUGUAAUUGUAAUUCACAGAUGCCCCCUCCAGUCAAGGUGGCACUGGCUGGGGACCAGAGCUUCCUCAGCACCAUCCUGAGGUUCUUUGUCGAGCAGUUAGCAAGCAAAACUCCAGACUGGCUGAAUUAUAUUCGCUUCCUGAUUGUGCCGCUAGGCUCUCAUCCUCUCGCAAAAUACUUGGCAUCAGUUGACAACAAGUACAACAGCACCUUCAUGGACUCCGCGUGGAGGGAUCUCUUCAGCAAGUCAGAGCCUCCAACUGCAGAAACAUUCGACAUCAUCGGCCGAAUCACGCAGUAUGUAUCUGGUGCCAACAUGUCUCAUCAGCUGCCAAUAUCUGAGGCCAUGCUGACCUACAAACAGAAGAGCCCCGAUGAGGAUUCCUGCCAGAAAUUCAUCCCCUUCGUUGGUGUGGUGAAAGUGGGCAUCGUGGAACAGUCCCUCUCUGCCUCAGUGGACUCCGAUGACGCCACUUUGUGUAAUGUUGGGAUCUUGUCUCCAACACCAACGUCCAGCACCACAGCAUAUACAAAGGACAUCAACGCCACCCCACCACCUUCUCCUUCUGUCUCAGGAGUCCUUUCUGGAGCUUGCUCCCAAGGGAGUGGAGUUGAAGUGAUGGGGCUGCAGGUUGAUUACUGGACAACACAGCUGCCCGACAAGAAACGGGACGGUGAGAAACGGGACAUUGGCAACAAGAACACCUUAAAGAGCAACUUCCGGUCCCUGCAAGUGACCCGCCUACCAAAUGGUGGAGAGAUGGUGCCACCAGCUACCAUGCUGAUGACGGUGGUAACCAAAGAAAAGAAUAAGAAAGUGAUGUUUUUAAGUAAGAAACCGAGGGAGAAAGAGCUGGACUCAAAGAGCCAAGUUAUAGAAGGAAUCAGUAGAUUAAUCUGCACUGCCAAACAUCAGCAGACCAUGCUCAAAGUCUCCAUCGAUGGAGUCGAGUGGAAUGAUGUCAAGUUCUUCCAGCUGGCAGCACAGUGGCCCACACACGUCAAGUACUUCCCUGUAGGAAUAUUCGGAUAUUCAAAAACUGUGUGAUGGUUGGAAUCAGACUCUGGCAAGUACUGCCUGACCUUUCCCUGUGGAAUAACUGUGAUUCUGGCUCACACCCAGGGAUGUUUGUUUCUCACUCUGUUCUGUGAAGUACAUGGAACCUGCCAGUUUCGCCAGCUCAGGAUUUCUGACUGCACUUUAAUCACUGAGGAAGUGAACAGUGAUGAAUCGAGCUGGAUUUCCACCCAAAAGGGAACCUUGUUCACCCAUUGGACUCCAAUCAAGAAACUCCGGGCAGCUGGAGAGUGGAUCCAGUUUGAUUCCUAGUUUUUAGAAUUAACCAACAGGAUAUUUUAUUUUCACUUUUCAAAAUAUUAUCUUUGCAGAAUCUUAGUUCUCAUUUAGGUUGUGUCUGUCUGUUUUGAAAUUAAAAGAGGACAUAGUUCUCAUUCUGGAUUCUAG